UCAUCAUGUGUUGCAAAUGCCAGGUUCGCUUUUCGAUAGAUAUAACUCAUUUCCCUUCGGCAAGAGACAUGGAAGUUGAAACAAUAUCCUGAUGUUAAACCCAUGGAUUUAAUUGUUUAUUGUCUAAAAGUCUUCUUUGCUAACAGUUAUAUUCUCCUGGGAGAGUUAUAGGAGUGUUGACUAGAUUGUAAAUAUAUAAGGGUUAUUGUGCUAAUAUUAAAGUACACAUUGUUGAGUCUGGUAUCCUUUCAAAAUGUACAAGAAAAGUGAUUUGGUACAUUUUUUCAGUAUUUUUUUAUGAUAAUAUAACAAAAAAUCGUUCUCAGAACUGCAUUGGAUUUAGGAUAAAUCGGUGUUAUGUCUCAUGACAUUUGCAGUGACGAACAACUCGUGACGUAAUGUCACUUUUGGAAAACCUUGGAUUUAUAUGUCUUGUUAUUACCGUGGCGACCAUGUUUAUCAGUUUUGUGACGCCAUAUUGGGUAGUGUAUGAUGGUGAUUAUAUCAUGAAACCGGUGCACAAAGGUUUGUUGGCGAAUUGUGAGGAGGACAUGUGUACUUGGAUUUUUAAGGAUGAGAGGAUUAGCAGAGAGUUUCCAGUUUUACAGUGCGCAUAGGUUAGUGAAUUGUGGUGGUGCCGUUCCGUGUACUUGGAUAUACAACUGAACAUGGAAAUUGAUGGGCGGAUCCAGGAGUUGGCAUUUAGAGGGGUUCAAAUUUGUACGUACAACCCUCUUCAAAAUCGUGGGAAUGUGAGAAGGGUGGUUUGGGGAACAAGAUGGCCAUUUCAAGUCUGACCUGUUGAAUUCUGCAUGGUUCAAAGCGACGCAGGGCUUGAUGUCAGUGGCACUGGCCCUUGGACUUAUUGCUCUCCUGGUGGCCACCCUUUCCCUGUGUUGUACGUGCCACAGCUGUAACCCUCACCAUCCAAUCUGUGGAUUCCUCAUCAUCGCAUCUGUGUCUAUAGCGGUAGCCAUCGUGGUUUUCGGGAUCAAGGCGAAGAAUGAAUGGGGCAUCGACUUCCAGAUGGAGCUAAUGUCUAGCGGCCGUUUCGGGUGGUCAUUUUGGACGGCAGUAGGUGCUGCGGCCAGCGCCCUGCUGACUUCUACCAUCUACUGUUGUAUGGACAGAAAUAGACACUAAAUAGAGCAAUUGUACGGAUGAAGGCGAAACGGUUCCUACUGAAUUUUUCCUAUGCUCUUCUUCGCUAAUAAGGAUUCCUUUGAGUCUAAGACCGCUGGGUUUAAAAUUGAACAUUUUCGUGUAAAUAUUGUUUACACUCUGGUUAUACAAUUAGUAUACAUUUUAUUUUCAAUCCAUAUACCCAUUUACAUACCACAAAUGUUAUGUAAUGCUAUGAUAUACACUGGAAGAAAAUAACAAAACCGAUUUAUAAGCAGGUGCAAACCUCUUUAUGAAUGCAAAAUAAUCACCAGUGUACAGAUAGUUUUAAAACAUUGCAGUUAGUUCUGGCAGCCAUUAUAAUUACCAUGUGGUUAUUUUGUUACGAGAGAUUAAGUCAUGUUUAUGAAUAGCUAUCAGUGAGCAUACACGAAAUGGCACUACAGUCAUUAUAGUCAAGACUUUAUGUAAAUGUAAUGUUACAUGGAACUUUUCCGCUUUCGCUCCCGAUUUUUGAAUCGUCUAGUUAGAUAGUAUGUAUAUUUUACAUUACUGCUUAUUAUUUUGAAUAUUGUUGAUCUAUGUCGUAUAUUUACAAUUGUAUAUAUUACGUGUUUGUGAGAAAAGUGUUUCAUUUCAUGCUCAUUUUAUAUUUCAUUAGCUGUGCAUACAAAGCUAAGAUAGAUAUUGUGUCAUAAAGAAAUAGU